rnacentral:lncRNA from 1 species
CCAUUGCAAGGAAGCUAAAAACCUUGAAAAAAAGAUCAGACGAAUGACUAACUCGAAUAAACAGUGUAGAGAAGACCUUAAAUGACCUGAUGGAGCUGAAAACCAUGGCAGGAGAACUACGUGAUGCAUUUACAAGCUUCAACAGCUGAUUCAAUCAAGUGGAAGAAAGGGCAGGUAUCAGGGAAAACAGUCUUCAGGAUAUUAUCCAGGAGAAUUUCCCCAACCUAGCAAGGCAGGCCAAUAUUCAAAUUCAGGAAUUACAGAGAACACCACAGAGAUACUCCUUGAGAAGAGCAACCCCAAGACACAUAACUGUCAGAUUCACCAAGGUUGAAAUGAAGGAAAAAAUGUUAAGGGCAGCCAGAGAGAAAGGUUGGGUUACCCACAAAGGGAAGCCCAUCAGACUAAUAGCAGAUCUCUCAGCAGAAACUCUACAAGGGAGAAAUAAAAUCCUUUACAGAAAAGCAAAUG